rnacentral:lncRNA from 1 species
UUGGCAUUAGAACCUACUUGUUUAGGACUCUGGGGCAUAGUAAAGAGUAGCUGAGACAUGAAUUUAACAACUACUGGAGUCUUAGACUUUCUGUCGGUACAUAGCCAUUUUUGGACUAGCUACUCAUAAAUAGUAGUAAGCUACUCAUAAAUCCUAUCUAUAUUCAUUCGAUCAGUUUUGUUCCUCUAGAGAACUCUGACUAAUACAGAAAGUCUCACAAACACAUAUUGUUUGCACAAUCUCUAUGGGAUAGAGUAGGAAACAUCCAUUCUGGGUAGGAACUACCACAAACUGACUUAACCUUGUCCUUGUUCAGUCUUCUAUUGCUGCACACUAUCUUGCACUAGCUCCUGAGCAACUCUGAACUGGCCAGUGUAGGAGUGAUUGAUUCAGUGCCACUCCAACAGUUUACAGGUCAGGGUGCACCUGUGACAGGGACUCGAAUGCACCACUGCACCACAGACUCAAAUCUCAUUGGAGUGAGAAUUCUGGAAUUUGGUUUCUUAAAACAAAACAAAACCAAACCAGAAAUAUAAGAAUAUGUUUUUGUUUUAAUUCAAGGUGCUGGAAAUGGGGCUGCUUCAAAGCAGCUGUUGAUGAUUUGCCUUGUGCUCUAGCAGAGGCGUGGUUUGCCAGCGGAAGAUAGUUUUAUGAUUAUGUGACAGUUGGAAUUCUGGGAACUUUUCAGAGAUACGGUAUAUAAGUGCUGGAGCCCCGAUAUGUUGUUGUUAGUGGUGGUGGAUUUGUUAGUAGUUGUGCUCAAAGCAGAAACAAGAAAAAGGAAAUUAGAUUUGGAGAUCUCUCUCUCUCUCCCCCCCCCCUCUUUUUUUCUCUCUUAUCUAGUCAGAGUGGGUGAAGCCGGGGGUGGGGGCAGAUAAAGCUUGGGAAAAAGAAGAACCCACAAAGUAGCAAAGAGCAGUGACAUCUCAUGGUCACUGGCAUGGAGUUAACUGGCUGCUUUUCUACAGGACAUUUAGUUUGAUAAUAAAAGACUCGGAUUCUUCAUCUUCAAACACCCAGCAUUGUUGUUUGGGAGAUGAUUUUUCUUUAAAACUAUGGUGGAGAAUUAAAUUGUGGGAAGCUUAACCCAGAGACAAGAGAGGGUUGAAGCAAAGCACCUUUUCAAGGUAUGCAGACAGCUGAAGUUAAAGUAGAGGGUCUCAAACUCUAUUCCCAGAUACAUCAGGCCCCAAAUUAGAUAGUCAAGUCCUUGAAGCCUUCAGAUCUGAGUGUGGGUCUUAUUCCUUAGCUCAGGUGGGCACCAACUUGUGACUCUCUGCCUCAUUCUAAUAUGCUGUGAUUUCAGAUGUGCACCACCACAGCUGGCUUAGAAAGAGAUAUCAUCUGUAGUGUUAAUAUACCUAUUCACUUCUGAGGAAAAAUUAACCUCUAGAACCUGGAUGGGGGAUGGAAGAAAUCAGAAGUUGGCCCAAGGGAAAACACUUCCAGGUGGUGGGGAGGACUGGAAUCAAGUGGAAUGGCCAGUGUGUGAAGGCUGUGAGGGAUGGCAGCGCCGGCCAGGGUCUCAGGAGCUGCUCACUGAGCACAGCUCCAAAGCUGGAGCAGGUGGAGGUGCUCUCCCCAGCAGCUCUGAGUGACUCCCUCCAGGCAUUAUAGUCCAAGUCAGGAAGGCAGCUCAAAUAGACUUCCUGUUUAUUUGUUGGAUAAAAGUUUCAGAGCUUAGCACAUUUUUAAAUGGAAUUUGGAGCUUCGGUGCCAUGCAAUGUAAACAUAUCUAUGCCCUAUACGGUGUUGUGAAACAGACUUAAAUAUAUGUGUCCUAUAUGGUGAUGUGACAUAGAUUUGCAUUCUUUUCCUUACCCCUUUGCCUUUUUAGUCUUCCUUUCUUUUUUUUUUUUUAUAAUAGAAUAGAAUAGAGUUUAUUUGGGGCAUGGGGAGGGGAGUAAAGAGGGUAGGAGAGAGAGAGAGAGACAGAGAGAGGAAGAAGAAGAAGGAAGAGGAGGAGGAGGAGGAAGAAGAAGAAGAAGAGGAGGAGAAGGAGGAAGAGGAAGAAGAGGAGGAAUAGAGGGAUAGAAGCCGGCCAUGAGCACGUGAGGUGGUAGGGAAUGUCAGGGGAGGGGGGAAGGGGAGAGAGGAUAGAGCAGGAGCAAGAAGGCAAGAGCAAGAAGAGCCUUUUUAUUCUUUCUUUAUAGUUCAGGCUAUUCUUGAACUUGUGGCAAUUCUGUAUCUGCCUAAACACUGAGAUCUUCAUGAACAUUCUUCCCACUUCUUGGCUUUCCUGGACAGUAGGUGUAGCUAGCAGUCACGGGGAGCUUUGGUUUCAAGUCUCCAAUUUAACCAAAGCUGAAACUCUUAUCUUCAUGUGGGUUUCAAAGCUACUCUUACCGCUCGCUCGCUGUGGUUCUGAAACCUGCAAGAGGCUGCUCCUGCUUACUUCCCAAGUCUUAUGUAUCUUCUUUCUCUUGUAUGGCAUUUCAUUUUACUAAGAAAAGUGCUCUCAGGCCCAUUGGACUUGCAAACUUUAUAUGCCCCAGUACAG